GGAUUUGUGACUUGUUUUAACCAGGAAAGGGAGCUACCUGAAGAUACAUCGACCCAUAGCAUCGACCAACGUCUUUGGGGUUGUCAACAUUACAAGUUUCUCCGCUGAGCUGAACUUUGAUGCCACAAGACUUUUGACUUGCCAGAAGUGUGAAAGGAACAUUAAUGGGCUGACCGCUGCUUACUCCUGGAUCUGUUGGAGAUCAGACUGUAAUCACACCAAGACAGAGCUGCUGUGCUGGGAAAAAGGACACACAUCCCUCUGCUGUUGUUUCUGCUCCGUUGAGUUAACAUCACCACUGUCGCCAUGGGUCUUGCACCACCAUGGGCCCCGCAUCUGGAGGAUUGCAAGCUUUCACCCGUCUCAGGAAGGCCAGGAACGGGGUGG